UACGAAGGGGGCUAGCGUUGUUCGGAAUCACUGGGCGUAAAGGGCGCGUAGGCGGCUUUGUAAGUCGGGGGUGAAAGCCUGUGGCUCAACCACAGAAUUGCCUUCGAUACUGCAUGGCUUGAGACCGGUAGAGGUAAGUGGAACUGCGAGUGUAGAGGUGAAAUUCGUAGAUAUUCGCAAGAACACCAGUGGCGAAGGCGGCUAACUGGUCCGGUUCUGACGCUGAGGCGCGAAAGCUAGGGGAGCAAACGGG
rnacentral:rRNA from 1 species